AUUGAACGCUGGCGGCGUGCUUAACACAUGCAAGUCGAUCGGUAACAGGUGUAGCAGUACAUGCUGACGAGAGGCGGACGGGUGAGGAAUAUUUGGGAAUCUGCCCAUCAGCGGGGGACAACCCGGGGAAACUCGGGCUAAUACCGCAUACGCUCUACGGAGGAAAGCCGGGGACCGCAAGGCCUGGCACUGAUGGAUGAGCCCAAAUCGGAUUAGCUAGUUGGCGGGGUAACGGCCCACCAAGGCGACGAUCCGUAGCUGGUCUGAGAGGACGAUCAGCCACACCGGAACUGAGACACGGUCCGGACUCCUACGGGAGGCAGCAGUGGGGAAUAUUGGACAAUGGGGGAAACCCUGAUCCAGCGACGCCGCGUGGGUGAAGAAGGCCUGCGGGUUGUAAAGCCCUUUCGGUAGGGAAGAAAUCUCUUGUCUUAACACGGCAAGGGUUUGACUUAACCUACAUAAGAAGCACCGGCUAACUCUGUGCCAGCCGCCGCGGUAAGAC
rnacentral:rRNA from 1 species